GCCAGUGUGGUGUAGUGGUUUAAGUGCUGGACUAUGACUCUGGAGAUCAGGGUUCAAAUCCCUGCUUGGUG